GCGUCGGUAGUGCAUUUGGUUGAGCACGCGACCCCUGGAAAGGAUUUUAUGAGGGUUUGAGUCCUGCCUGACGUCA